rnacentral:rRNA from 1 species
GACGAACGCUGGCGGCGUGCCUAAUACAUGCAAGUCGAACGCUGAAGGAGGAGCUUGCUUCUCUGGAUGAGUUGCGAACGGGUGAGUAACGCGUAGGUAACCUGCCUGGUAGCGGGGGGUAACUAUUGGAAACGAUAGCUACUACCGCAUAAGAGUAGAUGUCGCAUGACAUUUGCUUAAAAGGUGCAAUUGCCUCACUACCAGAUGGACCUGCGUUGUAUUAGCUAGUUGGUGAGGUAACGGCUCAACAAGGCCACGAUACAUAGCCGACCUGAGAGGGUGAUCCGCCAAAAUGGGACUGAGAAACGGCCCAGGCUCCUACGGGAGGCAGCAGUAGGGAAUCAUCGGAAAUGGACGGAAGUCUGAACGAGCAACGCCGGGUUAGUGAAGAAGGUUUUCGGAGCGUAAAGCUCUGUUGUAAGAGAAGAACGAGUGGGAGAGUGGAAAGUUCACACUGUGACGGUAUCUUACCAGAAAGGGACGGCUAACUACGUG